rnacentral:rRNA from 1 species
UUCCGGUUGAUCCUGUCUUCCUGACUGCUAUCGGAUUGAUACAGCUGCUAGUCUUUGCGUAAUGCAAGGCAGACGGCUCAGUAACACGUAGUCAACUUACCCUAUGGACGAGGAUAAUCUCGGGAAACUGAGCAUAAUACUCGAUAGAUCAUAAUGCCUGGAAUGGUUUAUGGUUGAAAUGAUUCGUCGCCAUAGGAUGGGACUGCGGCCUAUCAGCUUGUUGGUGAGGUAAUGGCCCACCAAGGCGAUUACAGGUACGGGCUCUGAGAGGAGAAGCCCGGAGAUGGGUACUGAGACAAGGACCCAGGCCCUAUGGGGCGCAGCAGGCGAGAAAACUUUGCAAUGUGCCGAAAGCACGACAAGGUUAAUCCGAGUGAUUUCUGCUAAAGAAAUCUUUUGCAAGUCAUAAAACCACUAGUGAAUAAGGGGUGGGCAAGUUCUGGUGUCAGCCGCCGCGGUAAAACCAGCACCUCAAGUGGUCAGGAGGAUUAUUGGGCCUAAAGCAUCCGUAGCCUGUUUUGAAGUCUCCGGUAAAUCCAUCAACUCAAGUGAUGGGCUGCCGAAGAUACUGCAAAACUAGGGAAUGGGAAGGUAGACGGGACUCGAUAGGAAGGGGUAAAAUCCUUUGAUCUAUUGAUGACCACCUGUGGCGAAGGCGGUUUACCAGAACAUGUUCGACGGUGAGGGAUGAAAGCUGGGGGAGCAAACCGGAUUAGAUACCCGGGUAGUCCCAGCUGUAAACGAUGCAGACUCGGUGAUGCGUUGGCUUGUUGCUAGCGCAGUGCCGCAGGGAAGCCGUUAAGUUUGCCGCCUGGGAAGUACGUACGCAAGUAUGAAACUUAAAGGAAUUGGCGGGGGAGCACCACAAGGGGUGAAGCCUGCGGUUCAAUUGGAGUCAACGCCGGG